rnacentral:tRNA from 1 species
GCUGGGAUAGCCUAGCCCGGAAAGGCGGCGGCCUCGAGAGCCGCUGGGCGCAAGCCCACGCAGGUUCAAACUGCAACUUGUCUGCA